GCCUUUCUGUGGGGAGAGCACAGAGGCAAGAGAGAGGCCUUGGGGGAACGGAGACCCUUCGCUGAGGCCCUGAGGGGUGGACCCCCGGCCCCCGCCGAGGUGAGGAAGACUAUGCGAGAUGGAGGGCAGCUGCCGAGGCGUGCUGGCUGCGCUGGUCGUUCUGGCUGGGCUGGCAGUUGUCCCCACAGCUCCUCUUCGUCCCGGAAGGUUCCCAGAGUCUCGGUGGAAAUGGACUCCAGGUGUCCCAGGCCAGGGUCUCGGAUCAGAGUUGCAGGAGACGGGGAGAUGGAGCAUGCCAACCCCGGGGGUCAUCGGGUAACGAGAGCUUAUACCCCAGCUUUCUUUCGACUAUAUCUUGUCUUGAUUUCAUUGCUUCAUGGAUGUGUUUUCCUAGGAGGUUUUAAAUGCCUGAAGGUGGCCUUACCCCAGGGGUUUUAAUGCAUUGUAUUGACGCAUAACACCCGCGCAGAAAAUACACACGUUAUAAAAGGACAGGUUGAUGAAGUUUUACACGGAGCACCUUUGUGUGUCACCAGGGAGCCCAAGGGCACUUCACAGGUGCUUCAUUCAGCUCCCCCCCGCCCCUGCCCAAAGUGACCAUUGUUCUGACUUCUUGCUGCAUUGCUAGGUGCUGCUUGCUUUGCACUUUAUACAGCUAUGCACUCUACUUCUGAUGGAAAGAU
rnacentral:lncRNA from 1 species